GACGGGCCCCGCACAAGCAGCGGAGCGUGUGGUUUAAUUCGAUGCUACACGAAGAACCUUACCAGGGUUUGACAUACAAGUAGUAGGGAAAGGAAACUGGACCGACCCUUCGGGGAGCUUGUACAGGUGCUGCAUGGCUGUCGUCAGCUCGUGUCGUGAGAUGUUCGGUUAAGUCCGCUAACGAGCGCAACCCUCGCUGUGUGUUACAAGUGUCACACGGAACUGCCGGUCAUAAACCGGAGGAAGGUGGGAUGACGUCAAGUCAGCAUGGCCUUUAUAUCCUGGGCUACACACACGCUACAAUGGCCAACACAAUAGGUUGCUAAGCCGCGAGGUGGCGCCAAUCUAUAAAGUUGGUCUCAGUUCAGAUUGUAGGCUGCAACCCGCCUGCAUGAAGAUGGAGUUGCUAGUAACCGCAGGUCAGCUAUACUGCGGUGAAUACGUUCCCGGGGCUU
rnacentral:rRNA from 1 species